rnacentral:lncRNA from 1 species
CUAUCUGGGAGGAGUUAUGAUCAACAGUAAAAUGGGAACUAACCUUCAGAUUCUUCACGAUGACUCCUUCUUACAAAUAUUGCAAUUAGAAACAUUUCCAGAGUAGUGUUUUACUUUUUUUCUUAAAACUGUCGCUAACAAUCAGAAGCCAACAUACACAUUGCUUUUAGUAUUAAAAAAGGUUUGCCAACUUUUACUUAGUGUAUAUGUUAAAAUUUCUGGUUGCUAAAUGCCAGGCACUGUGUGAAUGCUGGAAUUCAUGCAAAGAGAGGAACUCCUUGUGCAGACAGCUGUGAAGUUGAGUGGCAGCAAUGCAGAUGCUUUUUCUUCCCAAAAGCAAAGAGACGCUGCCAUGAUAUAGUACCCAAAAGGCCAUGAUCUGAAGUUCAGCAACCUGCAGUUUUCCAUGCAUAAAAUUGCAACUUCUCUUAUAUUAUGUACAUAUAGCAAGAUAUUGUAAAAUUCCUGGUUUCAGCUACACAACCAUUCUCUUUCUCUCUGUUUAUUCAAAUAGGGCAGUGAAUCCAAACUCAUCUUUUAACCUUUUGGGAUGUACUUAACGUUAUGUUAGGUUCAUCAGUGUUGUUGAUUGUAUUCUUGGAGCUGCAUUGAAAUGUUGACUUGCUUUGUCUUGAAAUAAUUAAACAUAUUAGAGCAAUUAAUAUGUUUUGCAAUAAAUGUUUAACUGUUCUGGAGACUGAAUCAGUAAUUAAUGUAAUCAGAUACCAUAUGUGAUGUGUAUUUAACAAAGUGUAUUUCAGGGCAGCAAAUUCUUUUAAAAUAUUUUCAGAUUACUGCAGUUUAUAAUUUAUAUUUACAUUUCCCAAGAUGACACUGCCUGUGUUGCUGUGAUGGUUUCAAGUUUGGCACUCAUUAGGAAGAUAUUCAUUCCCAUGACAAAUGAAAAUGUCACAGCUUCAUCAGGGGAAUUGUUGCAGGAUCCAUACCCAGACCUUGGAAGCAGAGAAGAGUACACCAUGAAAUCUGGACAAAGUUCAAAUAAAGUUUUAAAACAGAGGAAGUAAUUGAAAAGCAAAUCUGUUUCUCUGCUAAACAACUUGAAGGGUGACAAAAGGCUUUCCCAUACUUUUGUAUCCUACUGUUUUCAGAUGCACAACUAUCUUCUACUUGGGGGGCAGCUGCUCACAAUGGCACGCAUGUGCAGCCAUGAGCCUUGUUUUCAGGUAUGUCACACAGUACCAUUGUACAUUAUCAUGAGAACAUUCAGAUUCUCUUGAAAGAUAAUGAAUACAAG